CUUCAGUCUUGGACAGGAGAAGUAUUGCACAGAACACCAUGGACUUGGUUCAAUAAGGUGCGCUGGACCAUGCAAUCGGCAAUAUGUAGCUUGUUUUGUCGAAUGGUUUGAGUAUCAGCCAUAAAAAACUGAGAUUAGCGGGAGUCCCUUGGGAGCUAUUGAGAGACACAUCUGGCCAUGUUGGAUGUCAGGCCCCCCUGCCCUUGCAGUCUUGCUGCUC